GGAACACUGAAAUGGACCUAUAUUUAAGCUGCGUAUUCAAAUGAAGACUACAAAUUUUGAACCUACAAAAACAUGAAUUCACAAUGGUCUUGUCUCUCUUGCUAUUGAUACAAUAGGCGCGUUUUCUAUCGUAAAAAGAUUCAUCAAAAUAGGAAAUAAAUCUAAAUUUAUUUUUUUGCUUUGUUCUAUAAACCAAAUGUGUCAAGCAGCUGCAAUUACUGUUUUUGGCUUUUCAAUCAGAAGUCCAUGCCACCCAUACCACCACCCAUACCGCCACCCAUUGCAGGAGAUUCCUUCUCGUCCUUAGGAAGCUCGACAACAACUGCUUCAGUUGUGGUCAAAAGAGACGAGACACUGGCAGCAUCGACCAAAGCUGUCCUGAUCACUUUCACUGGAUCGAUGAUUCCUGCCUUUAUCAUAUCUACAUAUUCACCCUUGGCCGCAUCAUAUCCAAGAUCAAGGUUGUCCUGAUCCAACAAUUUGCCAACCACGACAGCACCCUCUACUCCUGCGUUAGAGGCUAUUGUAUGUACUGGCGUCUUCAGAGCAUUCUGAAUAAUUUGUACACCAAUCUUCUGGUCAAAGUU
rnacentral:misc_RNA from 1 species